AUGAACGCUGGCGGCGUGCCUAAUACAUGCAAGUCGAGCGAACAGACGAGGAGCUUGCUCCUCUGACGUUAGCGGCGGACGGGUGAGUAACACGUGGAUAACCUACCUAUAAGACUGGGAUAACUUCGGGAAACCGGAGCUAAUACCGGAUAAUAUAUUGAACCGCAUGGUUCAAUAGUGAAAGACGGUUUUGCUGUCACUUAUAGAUGGAUCCGCGCCGCAUUAGCUAGUUGGUAAGGUAACGGCUUACCAAGGCAGCGAUGCGUAGCCGACCUGAGAGGGUGAUCGGCCACACUGGAACUGAGACACGGUCCAGACUCCUACGGGAGGCAGCAGUAGGGAAUCUUCCGCAAUGGGCGAAAGCUUGACGGAGCAACACCGCGUGAGUGAUGAAGGUCUUCGGAUCGUAAAACUCUGUUAUUAGGGAAGAACAAAUGUGUAAGUAACUAUGCACGUCUUGACGGUACCUAAUCAGAAAGCCACGGCUAACUACGUG
rnacentral:rRNA from 1 species